UUUUCUAGUCUAACUGAUGGAGGUUUCCGAGGGGCUCCCAAGCCCGGCUCUUCUUGCCUAGUGAGUCCUGCAUGCUGUCAUCUCAGCAGGUGGUUGACCUGACUAGCCUGAACCCAGAAACUGUCUUCCCUUUUUCCAAGUGUGGACACCCCAGCACUUCUGCCUGCUUUGGGUUUCUCUUGAGUGCCUUCAGUUGAUCGUGUACUGUGCUGGGCACUGGUGACCCACGAUGCAUAGGAUAUGAUGGUACGUUGGCCCAGGAAGGACAGGUGUGUCAGCAGGUAACUAGUGGAAGGCUCAGCGCCAUGAUGAAGACAUGUUAUAAGGCUCAGGGGCAGAGGGCUGCAGCAAAGUCUUCUCGGAGGAGCAAGCAUCUUGGUUUGGUUCAAGUGGAAGCUCAUCACCAUAACAUGAAAGAACAAAGACUUUGGAAUCAGGUGGCUACAGUUUUGAAUCACUCAGGAUCCUAGGAGACGAGGGAGCUGAGAAGAGACGAGUGCUGACCUUCCAUGUUUCCUCCCUCACGUGCUGGCCCUUGCUUCCGCCUCAUAACAAUACAGCAGGAAAAUCACCAAGCUUUCCAGAGCAACCUUGGGAACACGACUGAAAAAGAAACAUUCUGAACAUGCUCUGGGAGCAAAAAUGGACUCAGUAUUCAAGUUCCCAUCGUGGGUAUUACCAAAUAAAUUCAGUACUGGUUUUGAUCAGUUUAUCUGGUUUAAGGGGUGAAACCCAGCUGAGUGUAGUACAGGAUGCAUGUACUAGGACUACAUGGGGAUCUCCCAGGACCCAGGGCAGGUGCGAGACUGAGAAAGGGCCCUGGAAGUGGGCAGGCUCUCUCCUUUCCUCCUUCCACCCCUGGCUCUCUCGCCUCCAGCUCCACAUGGAGACGUCUACAGUUUCCAGCACUUCUUUGAAAACCAGCCCUCUCUGCUCACUUGUUGGUGUGGUGGUUGCAAAUGGGCAUCGCAGGAAAGCAUCUCAUUCUGAGCAUCCUUACACCCCACAAAGGGUCAGAUGCCUAGAAGUUCCUUUAAUUAAUCUUUAUUAACUAGCCCCUUGAUGAAAUUGAAUAAAUAUGGUAUCUAGAGCUCACUAAAUAUUCUUUGGCUUAAACUUUACAUUCCCUGGAGGGAGAAAUUAAGUGGCCA